rnacentral:rRNA from 1 species
UACAGAGGUGCCAAGCGUUAGGCGGAAUCACUGGGCUUAAAGCGCGUGUAGGGGAGUCGUUAAGUGUCCGCGUGAAAUCCCACGGCUCAACCGUGGAACUGCCGGGCAUACUGGCGAUCUUGAGGCAUUCAGGGGCGAGCGGAACAAGUGGUGGAGCGGUGAAAUGCGUAGAUAUCACUUGGAACGCCAAUGGUGAAAACAGCUCGCUGGGAAUGAUCUGACACUGAGACGCGAAAGCCAGGGGAGCGAACGGG